GCAUCUUCGGGCCCGCUUUUGGGCCGUUUCCUGGCCCCGAACCCGAGCCGUGCUUUGGGAACAAUCGUUCCUCGCGUCGCCGCCGUCGGAUUGAUCCGAUUUGCGUGCGAUUUGGUGAGUAAUCUCACUAAUCCUGGAUUAGUUGGCUAAUUAUGCUUAAGGUUGGUUUAGUUUUAAUUAAUUAGGUUUAGGUUGUUAGAUUAGAAUAAAUUAGCAAUUAUUAAUCAAUUGUGAUGCGAUUUAGAUAAAUUGAUUGUGCAAUUAGCAAGUAGACGUGGUCUACUAAUUAUUGAAAGUGCCUCGGGAUUUUUCCCGACCCUUAGUGGGCUCCAAUUAGGCUUUUCGGGCCUAAGUGGAUUUUUUUUGUAUUUAAAUAUUAAUUUUCGGAAUUAAAUUAAAUAAUUAUUUAUUUUCCGAAAAUUCAAGGGAGAUGGUUUGGAACCGGAAUAUUAUGCGGAUGACCGUGGUGAAGUCCGUUUAUUUAAUUGGGCUUUAAAUUGAGCUAAAUCGAAUUUUUAAUACUAAUUAUUUAAUUUUCGAAAUUAAUUAAUUAAUUAAUUAUUUUCCGAAAAUUCAACUGGGAUGGCCCGUGACCGGAAAAUUAUGCUGAUGACCGUGGUGAAGUCCGUUUAUUUAAUUGGGCCUUAUUUUGAGCUAAACGGAAUUUUUAAUGGUUAAUAAUUAAUUUUCGAAAUUAAUUAAUAAUUAAUUAUUUUUCGGAAAUUAAGAUUGAGAUGGCCGACGACCGAAAUCUGGUGCUAAUUGUCGUGGCGCAGUUCGUUUAUUUAUUUGAGCUUUGAAUUGUGCCAAAUUGAAUUGCAUGUGGAAUUUAGGAUGUGUUCCUAGAAUCAUUGUGGGUUAAUUAUUUCAUUGAUAAAGCCAUUGAAUCUUGAAAGUGGUCGAGUGGGACCGUAAAGCCAUUGAAUCUUGCAAGUGGUCGAGUGGGACCGUAAAGCCAUUGAAUCUUGCAAGUGGUCGAGUGGGACCGUAAAGCCAUUGAAUCUUGCAAGUGGUCGAGUUGGACCGUAAAGCCAUUGAAUCUUGCAAGUGGUCGAGUGAGACCGUAAAACCAUUGAAUCUUGCAAGUGGUCGAGUGAGACCGUAAAACCAUUGAAUCUUGCAAGUGGUCGAGUGGGACCAUAAAGCCAUUGAAUCUUGCAAGUGGUCGAGUGGGACCAUAAAGCCAUUGAAUCUUGCAAGUGGUCGAGUGGGACCGUAAAGCUAUUGAAUUUCGAAAGUGGUCGAGUGGGACCGUAAAGCCAUUAAAUAUUGAAUGUUGUCGAGUGGUGGACUGUGUCUUCCACCUUUGCGUAAGAUGUGAUCUGAGGACCGUAGUUCGAAAUUGAUGAUUGAGAUGGAAUAAUCGAAUUGACCUAGAAUGGUCCGUCUGACAUGUAAUCGACGAGAUCGAUUGAUCAUUGUUUUGAUUUGAUGUUGUGAAUUGAUUGACUGAAUGGGAAUGACCGUGAGUGGUCUUGUUGGCUUGUAAUCGACUAGGUCGAUUUGAUCGAUGCUUUGAUCGGCAAUACGAUUGCUUGAGUGCCUAUUGUGAAUUGUACUGACUUGCAGGUAGGAUCUGAUGCUAAGGUACGUCUUCUGACCUAUGCGUGUUUAGGCAGCCUUUAGUAUAAUGGUUUACUAAUUGGGCUUAGUGGGGUAGAACUUGCUGAGACGUAGUCUCAUCCCAGUUUGGGGAAAACCAUUUCAGGACCCCGCUGAAGAGCUGAGGAGGAGGAAUCCGAGAAGGAGAACUCGGAGGUGAGAUCUGAAGAAAAGGAUUUUUGGAAGAAGAAGACAAUUCUGAGAGAGUCCUUGAGUACGGCCUAGUUUAUCUAAGUUUUGGUCUUCUUUUGAGAUCUCCGUUUUGAUGUGAAUAGUUUUGAAGUGGUUUGUGGUUUGUAUAAAAGUUUGGUUAUAAAUUUCAAUAUGAAAAAUAUGGCCCUGCUUUUCUAUCCCAUCGUUUUAUUGUCUGGGGAUUUUAACUGCUUCCGCAUGUGCUUAAAAAUUUGAAAGGGUCAGCGAUACAUUGUCCUGGUAUAUCGCAUUAUAAAAUCGACCAAAUAGAAGGAUGUGCACGUGCUCGAGGAUCGGGGCGUGACAUCGUGAGCUUCAUGUCAUCAAGUAGUUGGUCCUAGUGACAAGAAGUCAGAUUGGGGUUAUUAGCUACUGGUCAC
rnacentral:lncRNA from 1 species